ensembl:lncRNA
CCUUACAAAAUUAAAAACCGGUGCCUGCGCAGUGGGAAGAGUCCAUUAUUCGGGAUGCUGCUUCCAUGGCAACAACUGGCAGAAGCCGCCAGGAGCGUGGCCAGCUACGGUCUGCUCGGAGGAGGGCCGCAGGAGUGGCCUGCCUGGCUCAGGCUCCCUGGAGCAGCCAAUGGGAGGAGGUGGCCAGUUCGUGGUACAGGAAGUCGUUCCCACUUGGAGAACUCUGAGAGGGACUCGGCCAGGAUGCAGAGACAGGUGGGGCGCUGUGCCAUCUCAUGUCUGGGCCGGGCCGGGCCAUCUGCAGGCCACCCGCGGAGUGUCUGCCUCUCAGGUGCUCUGACCCGGUGUGUCCCAGCAGCUGUGACCAUGAGGUAUGCGCCAAAAGUCAAGAAGCCAAAAGCCACACCUGCUGCAGAAGUUCGCAGAUCUGCGUUUCGAAGCUAGACGUGUGUGAUGCAGAACUUCAAAGGAACCGAGGCCACAAUCCAGACCCACCAUCGCGCACCCUCCUGGCCGGGCUUCGACGCCCGUGUUGGUGCCGUGUCUGUGCCUUGCCGUGUGCGACAUCCCCUUACACACCACCUGUGACUACAACGUCUCCCGGGCCCGCUGCAAGGAGCUGGGGUGCUGCUUCUACCAGAGCAUCUGCUACGAGAAGGUCAUGCCGAAAAAAUCCAUGAGAGGAGGAAGAAGAAAGAGAUUCUCAUGCAGUCCACUCUGCCACCUGAGGCCAGCAAUGAGACUGCUAAAGUCUCCCAGGGUGGACAAGUGGUGUCACAGCCGGCCAGUGUCAUUGUCUCCAGGAAGAGUGGCAAGAACCUGGAGGAAGAGGGAUCAGCUGUCACGGAGCUGGAAGACACAGAGGACUGAAGUGUGCAAAGAGGAAGUGGAGAACAGGGAAAUGUCCCUGAGACACACAGCUGUGACCCCUGGUGGGGCCAUAUGGAGUGGCCACCCUAUGAGCCAAUAAAAAGGUCAAAGUUGAAAAAAUGUAAGAAGACUUUCUGAGAAAAGAGUGGACCAAAUGCACCCCCACACUAAAAACCCAGCAGAACAAACCUUAGAGAUGAGCAACAAUGAAAUCUUGAAGAGGAUAUUGGGCUCUCUUCAGUAAUUCAAGGCUCCUUAAUUAUCCUGCAUCUUUUCCUUUGUGUGUUCUUUGCAGUGGGAUCCAAAUUUGAAAAAGAAAAAGCCUUCCACAUUUAUGACUAUUGUACCAUUAUAUUUGCGCUAUCUUCAUAUUGAUGAGGCUGAUAAAAAUAGAAAAUUGUAAAAGGCUCUGGUAUCAAAGACAGAGGCCUCCUGUAUGAAAUUCUUUUGUCCUGUGGCCUUUUCUCCUCCACACACUCAUUACCUUCUCUCCCAAG